rnacentral:rRNA from 1 species
GACGAACGCUGGCGGCGUGCUUAACACAUGCAAGUCGAACGGUGAAGCUCCAGCUUGCUGGAGUGGAUCAGUGGCGAACGGGUGAGUAACACGUGAGCAACCUGCCCCUGACUCUGGAAUAAGCGCUGGAAACGGCGUCUAAUACUGGAUACGAGAAGGGUCCGCAUGGGCACUUUCUGGAAAGUUUUUCGGUUGGGGAUGGGCUCGCGGCCUAUCAGCUUGUUGGUGAGGUAAUGGCUCACCAAGGGGACGACGGGUAGCCGGCCUGGGGGGGCGGCCGGCCACGCGGGGCAGGGGGAAGGGCCCGGGCCCCUCGGGGGGGAGGGGGGGGGGAAUUUGGCACAAGGGGGGAAAGCCGGGGGGAGGGACGCCGGGGGGGGGGGGGGGGCCUUCGGGUUGGAAACCUUUUUCAGGAGGGAAGAAGGGAAAGGGGGGGUCCCGGCGAAAAAGGCACCGGUAAAUACGGG